rnacentral:lncRNA from 1 species
GGAACUUCCUCAGGCCAAGGACCAGCAAAAUCUGGAAGAAUCUGCCUGGAAGCUGAUUUCCCUGGUUUCUGUCCCAGAGGUCAGCUCUGUAUCCCCACUCUGAUCCCAGUACAACAAAACAGGAUGGAUGAAUUCCCCUGAUGUUCUAGGUGCAGGCAAGUGUUUUCCACGGUAUGAACCUCUCUCUCCUACGGACUUGAUCUCACAAACUUCCCCCUUUCAGAGACAAGUGGUUUAUGAAGCUAAUUCAUACUAAUAUGUGAACAGCUGCCUGCUGACUUUCACCUGCCCUGUGUAUUUGACUAUGAACUCCUGGAGCACAGAGACAGUUUUAUUCCUCUUCGUGGUUGCAGUGCCAAGUACAAGGCUUGGUACAGAGUUGGUGUUGUGUGGAUAAUCAUAAAGAAGACAGCAAUAAUAAAUCAUAACAGCCAACAAUCACUAAAUGUUUUCUAAAUGCCACACAAUCAGGUAAGGGUUUUAUGUAUGUUACCUUAUCUCAUCUUCACUUUGUGUGGUAGGUACUGUACUUAUUCCCAUUUCACAGAGGAGGAAACUGAGGCUCGGGGAGGUGAAAUAACUUAUCCAGGAAUCUAAAGCGGUGGAGGUAAUGUUCAAAUCAAGGCAACCUGACUCCCAAAUGCACAUUCUUAAUGGAGUAAGCUAGGUAAUUCGGACCAAGGUUAAUUAGGCUCGAUCUGAAGUUCUUCUUUUAUAAAACACUCAACACCUCUUCCCAAAUGUCUCUAAUGAUUAAUUUUAGGCUUCCAUGAGUGUGGUUUUUUUUUUUUUUUUCAGGAAGUCCCCAAAUCCCAAUCAGAGUGAUUCGGGAGAGGACCAGAAGAUGUCAAUGGAUGUGGUUUUCCUUCCUACCUUCUCCUGCUCCCACCUGUCUGGUGAAAAUAUAGGAGCCCCUGGGAUGCCCAGCUUCAGGGCGGGCCUGGAGAAGACUCAGGGAAGCCAAACCUUUGCUGGAGGCCAGGGAGCCUCACUUUGGGUUCUCUUGAAGCCCCUAUUUUUCAGAGGUCCCCUGAUUGCCCUUCUCGUGGCUCACGGCUCCUCAGCGAGCGGGCUCACUCUGCACAGGUGUUCGUGUCUCCCAUCAGACGCCUCAAAGCUGGGAGGAAGAUCAUAGCCAGGAUGGCCUUCGCCUAGACUUCUUGUUGAAAGGGAAGCCCUCAGAGAAGAGACACAGCCGCAGGACACGUGUACCUGCAGAGACGGCCACCAGCCACUCGCCACAGCCUCCACGCUCAUCUCCAUCACCCGGGUCCUGGCUCCCCUCCUCCAGGAAGCCCUCCCUGGUGAGCCCCACCCACAUGCCCUGUUAUGCUGCUCGCUUGGGUUCCAGGAAGCUCGGGGCGAUCACAGCUCUGGGGAGAAGACCAGAGAGCAAGACUCAGGCAUCUCUAGAGUUCAGAACUGGACUUUCAGUUCCAGAUCCUGGUUUCUGUCCUCUUCUUCCCUCUUCUUUUUACGAAGAGACUCUCUCAGUCAUCCUUGCUUUUCUUUUUCUCCCUUCUUGUCUCUUCUUGCCUUAUUCCC